rnacentral:rRNA from 1 species
UACGAAGGGGGCUAGCGUUGCUCGGAAUUACUGGGCGUAAAGGGCGCGUAGGCGGACAGUUUAGUCAGAGGUGAAAGCCCCAGGGCUCAACCUUGGAAUUGCCUUUGAUACUGGCUGUCUUGAGUUCGGGAGAGGUGAGUGGAAUGCCGAGUGUAGGAGGUGAAAUUCGUAGAUAUUCGGCGGAACACCAGUGGCGAAGGCGACUCACUGGCCCGAUACUGACGCUGAGGCGCGAAAGCGUGGGGAGCAAACAGGG